UUAAGCGACUAAGCGUACACGGUGGAUGCCCUGGCAGUCAGAGGCGAUGAAGGACGUGCUAAUCUGCGAUAAGCGUCGGUAAGGUGAUAUGAACCGUUAUAACCGGCGAUUUCCGAAUGGGGAAACCCAGUGUGUUUCGACACACUAUCAUUAACUGAAUCCAUAGGUUAAUGAGGCGAACCGGGGGAACUGAAACAUCUAAGUACCCCGAGGAAAAGAAAUCAACCGAGAUUCCCCCAGUAGCGGCGAGCGAACGGGGAGCAGCCCAGAGCCUGAAUCAGUGUGUGUGUUAGUGGAAGCGUCUGGAAAGGCGCGCGAUACAGGGUGACAGCCCCGUACACAAAAAUGCACAUGCUGUGAGCUCGAUGAGUAGGGCGGGACACGUGGUAUCCUGUCUGAAUAUGGGGGGACCAUCCUCCAAGGCUAAAUACUCCUGACUGACCGAUAGUGAACCAGUACCGUGAGGGAAAGGCGAAAAGAACCCCGGCGAGGGGAGUGAAAAAGAACCUGAAACCGUGUACGUACAAGCAGUGGGAGCACGCUUAGGCGUGUGACUGCGUACCUUUUGUAUAAUGGGUCAGCGACUUAUAUUCUGUAGCAAGGUUAACCGAAUAGGGGAGCCGAAGGGAAACCGAGUCUUAACUGGGCGUUAAGUUGCAGGGUAUAGACCCGAAACCCGGUGAUCUAGCCAUGGGCAGGUUGAAGGUUGGGUAACACUAACUGGAGGACCGAACCGACUAAUGUUGAAAAAUUAGCGGAUGACUUGUGGCUGGGGGUGAAAGGCCAAUCAAACCGGGAGAUAGCUGGUUCUCCCCGAAAGCUAUUUAGGUAGCGCCUCGUGAAUUCAUCUCCGGGGGUAGAGCACUGUUUCGGCAAGGGGGUCAUCCCGACUUACCAACCCGAUGCAAACUGCGAAUACCGGAGAAUGUUAUCACGGGAGACACACGGCGGGUGCUAACGUCCGUCGUGAAGAGGGAAACAACCCAGACCGCCAGCUAAGGUCCCAAAGUCAUGGUUAAGUGGGAAACGAUGUGGGAAGGCCCAGACAGCCAGGAUGUUGGCUUAGAAGCAGCCAUCAUUUAAAGAAAGCGUAAUAGCUCACUGGUCGAGUCGGCCUGCGCGGAAGAUGUAACGGGGCUAAACCAUGCACCGAAGCUGCGGCAGCGACACUAUGUGUUGUUGGGUAGGGGAGCGUUCUGUAAGCCUGUGAAGGUGUGCUGUGAGGCAUGCUGGAGGUAUCAGAAGUGCGAAUGCUGACAUAAGUAACGAUAAAGCGGGUGAAAAGCCCGCUCGCCGGAAGACCAAGGGUUCCUGUCCAACGUUAAUCGGGGCAGGGUGAGUCGACCCCUAAGGCGAGGCCGAAAGGCGUAGUCGAUGGGAAACAGGUUAAUAUUCCUGUACUUGGUGUUACUGCGAAGGGGGGACGGAGAAGGCUAUGUUGGCCGGGCGACGGUUGUCCCGGUUUAAGCGUGUAGGCUGGUUUUCCAGGCAAAUCCGGAAAAUCAAGGCUGAGGCGUGAUGACGAGGCACUACGGUGCUGAAGCAACAAAUGCCCUGCUUCCAGGAAAAGCCUCUAAGCAUCAGGUAACAUCAAAUCGUACCCCAAACCGACACAGGUGGUCAGGUAGAGAAUACCAAGGCGCUUGAGAGAACUCGGGUGAAGGAACUAGGCAAAAUGGUGCCGUAACUUCGGGAGAAGGCACGCUGAUAUGUAGGUGAAGUCCCUCGCGGAUGGAGCUGAAAUCAGUCGAAGAUACCAGCUGGCUGCAACUGUUUAUUAAAAACACAGCACUGUGCAAACACGAAAGUGGACGUAUACGGUGUGACGCCUGCCCGGUGCCGGAAGGUUAAUUGAUGGGGUUAGCCGCAAGGCGAAGCUCUUGAUCGAAGCCCCGGUAAACGGCGGCCGUAACUAUAACGGUCCUAAGGUAGCGAAAUUCCUUGUCGGGUAAGUUCCGACCUGCACGAAUGGCGUAAUGAUGGCCAGGCUGUCUCCACCCGAGACUCAGUGAAAUUGAACUCGCUGUGAAGAUGCAGUGUACCCGCGGCAAGACGGAAAGACCCCGUGAACCUUUACUAUAGCUUGACACUGAACAUUGAGCCUUGAUGUGUAGGAUAGGUGGGAGGCUUAGAAGUGUGGACGCCAGUCUGCAUGGAGCCGACCUUGAAAUACCACCCUUUAAUGUUUGAUGUUCUAACGUUGACCCGUAAUCCGGGUUGCGGACAGUGUCUGGUGGGUAGUUUGACUGGGGCGGUCUCCUCCUAAAGAGUAACGGAGGAGCACGAAGGUUGGCUAAUCCUGGUCGGACAUCAGGAGGUUAGUGCAAUGGCAUAAGCCAGCUUGACUGCGAGCGUGACGGCGCGAGCAGGUGCGAAAGCAGGUCAUAGUGAUCCGGUGGUUCUGAAUGGAAGGGCCAUCGCUCAACGGAUAAAAGGUACUCCGGGGAUAACAGGCUGAUACCGCCCAAGAGUUCAUAUCGACGGCGGUGUUUGGCACCUCGAUGUCGGCUCAUCACAUCCUGGGGCUGAAGUAGGUCCCAAGGGUAUGGCUGUUCGCCAUUUAAAGUGGUACGCGAGCUGGGUUUAGAACGUCGUGAGACAGUUCGGUCCCUAUCUGCCGUGGGCGCUGGAGAACUGAGGGGGGCUGCUCCUAGUACGAGAGGACCGGAGUGGACGCAUCACUGGUGUUCGGGUUGUCAUGCCAAUGGCACUGCCCGGUAGCUAAAUGCGGAAGAGAUAAGUGCUGAAAGCAUCUAAGCACGAAACUUGCCCCGAGAUGAGUUCUCCCUGAC
rnacentral:rRNA from 1 species